GCAGUCGAACGAUGAAGCUGGAGCUUGCUCCGGUGGAUUAGUGGCGAACGGGUGAGUAACACGUGAGAAAUCUGCCCCUGACUCUGGGAUAACUGCGGGAAACUGUAGCUAAUACCGGAUACUUUCCCUGGUGGGCAUCCACUGGGGAAGAAAGAAUUUCGGUCAGGGAGGAUCUCGCGGCCUAUCAGCUAGUUGGUGAGGUAACGGCUCACCAAGGCGACGACGGGUAACCGGCCUGAGAGGGUGACCGGUCACACUGGGACUGAGACACGGCCCAGACUCCUACGGGAGGCAGCAGUGGGGAAUAUUGCACAAUGGGCGCAAGCCUGAUGCAGCAACGCCGCGUGAGGGAUGAAGGCCUUCGGGUUGUAAACCUCUUUUAGCAGGGAAGAAGCGAAAGUGACGGUACCUGCAGAAAAAGCACCGGCUAACUACGUGCCAGCAGCCGCGGUAAUACGUAGGGUGCAAGCGUUGUCCGGAAUUAUUGGGCGUAAAGAGCUCGUAGGCGGUUUGUCACGUCUGCUGUGAAAAUCCAAGGCUCAACCUUGGACUUGCAGUGGGUACGGGCAGGCUAGAGUGCGGUAGGGGAGAUGGGAAUUCCUGGUGUAGCGGUGGAAUGCGCAGAUAUCAGGAGGAACACCAAUGGCGAAGGCACAUCUCUGGGCCGUAACUGACGCUGAGGAGCGAAAGCGUGGGGAGCGAACAGGAUUAGAUACCCUGGUAGUCCACGCCGUAAACGGUGGGUGCUAGCUGUGGGCCACAUUCCACGUGGUCCGUGACGAAGUUAACACAUUAAGCACCCCGCCUGGGGAGUACGGCCGCAAGGCUAAAACUCAAAGGAAUUGACGGGGGCCCGCACAAGCGGCGGAGCAUGCGGAUUAAUUCGAUGCAACGCGAAGAACCUUACCAAGGCUUGACAUAUAGGAGGAAAAGUGCAGAAAUGCACUCCCCGCAAGGUCUCUAUACAGGUGGUGCAUGGUUGUCGUCAGCUCGUGUCGUGAGAUGUUGGGGUUAAGUCCCGCAACGAGCGCAACCCUCGUCCUAUGUUGC
rnacentral:rRNA from 1 species